UGGGGAAUCUUGCGCAAUGGGCGAAAGCCUGACGCAGCAACGCCGCGUGGGGGAUGAAGGCUCUCGGGUUGUAAACCCCUUUCAGCAGGAACGAAAAUGACGGUACCUGCAGAAGAAGGCCCGGCCAACUACGUGCCAGCAGCCGCGGUAAUACGUAGGGGCCAAGCGUUGUCCGGAUUUAUUGGGCGUAAAGAGCUCGUAGGCGGUUUGGAUAGUCGGGUGUGAAAACUCCGAGCUCAACUCGGAGACGCCACCCGAUACUGCCAUGACUAGAGUCCGGUAGGGGAGCAGGGAAUUCCUGGUGUAGCGGUGAAAUGCGCAGAUAUCAGGAGGAACACCGGUGGCGAAGGCGCUGCUCUGGGCCGGUACUGACGCUGAGGAGCGAAAGCGUGGGUAGCAAACAGGAUUAGAUACCCCCGUAGUCC
rnacentral:rRNA from 1 species